UACGUAUGGUGCAAGCGUUAUCCGGAAUGACUGGGUGUAAAGGGAGCGUAGACGGUUGUACAAGUCUGAUGUGAAAGCCCACGGCUCAACUGUGGGAGUGCAUUGGAGACUGUAGAACUAGAGUAUCGGAGAGGCAAGUGGAAUUCCUAGUGUAGCGGUGAAAUGCGUAGAUAUUAGGAGGAACACCAGUGGCGAAGGCGGCUUGCUGGACGAAAACUGACGUUGAGGCUCGAAAGCGUGGGGAGCAAACAGG
rnacentral:rRNA from 1 species